rnacentral:rRNA from 1 species
ACUCCUGCGGGAGGCAGCAGUGGGGAAUCUUGCGCAAUGGGCGAAAGCCUGACGCAGCCAUGCCGCGUGAAUGAUGAAGGUCUUAGGAUUGUAAAAUUCUUUCACCGGGGACGAUAAUGACGGUACCCGGAGAAGAAGCCCCGGCUAACUUCGUGCCAGCAGCCGCGGUAAUACGAAGGGGGCUAGCGUUGCUCGGAAUUACUGGGCGUAAAGGGAGCGUAGGCGGACAUUUAAGUCAGGGGUGAAAUCCCGGGGCUCAACCUCGGAAUUGCCUUUGAUACUGGGUGUCUUGAGUAUGAGAGAGGUGUGUGGAACUCCGAGUGUAGAGGUGAAAUUCAUAGAUAUUCGGAAGAACACCAGUGGCGAAGGCGACACACUGGCUCAUUACUGACGCUGAGGCUCGAAAGCGUGGGGAGCAAACAGGAUUAGAAACCCUAGUAGUCCC